CAAGCCAGCUCUCCCUUGUUUCAUUGCAAAGCAUGCAAGGUGAUAAACAAAGCCAGCCAGCUCCUCAGGGGUGACAACCCCAAACGGAAUGAAAGGUGCCCAGGCCGAGGACCACACAGCGCCAGCAGGAUAUCUCCACACCCCAACCGAUUCAAGACAACAAAGGAGAGUUGUGCCGACAUCCGAAGUAUGCUGCCCGACCUGAACAAGGCCUUCCUCGGUCAAGGUCAGGAAUGUACUCUGGUCAGGAAUGUAUUUCUGGACAGGAGCAGGCAGACGAGGCCUCCCUGCACCAGCGUUUGAAGCAACUGACAGGGGUUUGAGCGGGUGAGCCUCAAACAGGUUAAACCCGGCCCCACCUCUUCUAACGGCCCACGGAGUGCUUUUUUUUUAUUUCAAUUGCUGGUCUCUCCAAUGAGAGGCCAGCAAAGCCUCCUCCCCAGACCACCGGAGAAUUUCCAGUAACUAACCUGGCUGCCGUGUUUUGUAGUCAUUGGAGUUUCCAGACUAGGCACAAGGGUAGAGCACAUUACAGAAAUCAAGUCAUGAGGUUACCAGUGCAUGUACUACAGUUUCUAGGUUCCUUACUUCUCGUGAAUCAUUUGGUGUAUCAGCCAAAGCUGAUAACAGGCGCUCCUGAUACCGCUGCAUUCACCUGGAUUGUCAUGUGAAGCGAGGGAUCUAACAGCACCCCCAGACUGCCAGCACAGUCCUUUGGGGAGAGCGUGACCCCAUCUAGGACUGGAGGUUGCAACCCAGUACCUAGUUUGCGGGGCCCUACUGCAAGUACCUCUAUUUUGUCUGGAUUCAACUUGAGCUUGUUUUUCCUCAUCCAGUCCAUUACUGCUUCAAGACACCGAUUGAGAGGAGAGAUGCUAUCUGUCAUCGAAGCUGUUGACCGAGGCAUGGAGAAGUAUCUUUGGGUGUCAUCAGCGUACAAUAACCAUCAGUUCAGCUUUGGCUGGACGUCAUGCCAGUAAAAAUACAUUUCCACAUUUCUUCCAAACUGUCUUCCUUCUUAUAACCCUGGUGAUCUUCCCAACCACAACUCCUUUCCUUUCAUUUUACUUCUUCCAACAAGCUAUGAAGCCUGGUUUGCUUGGUGGUUGGCAUAACUAAGAGAGGACUCCAAUCAAGUGAAGCUUCAUGAAACCCUCCUCAUGGCUGGUAGAUAUGAACAGCUGAAGCUGUGCACCUAUUGGAGCCACCAGUUUGGUUGGUUUCAUUACAGGGAGGAAACCUUGCUUCCAGAAACAUGAGUUUUCCUUAAUCCCAAAGGCUAUCCAGGUAGACUUAGUCCUCCAGACUUGGGUGACAACAGAAGGACUGAAGUUCCAAAAUGCAAGAAAGCUGGGAAUAUCUAAGCACAGCAUCCCAUCAUUUACUACAAGACUUGGGUGACAACAGAAGGACUGAAGUAUACAAGAAGGACUUAGUAUACAAUAAAGUCGGAAAUGUCUGAGUACAGCAUCUCAUCAGGUGAAUGAGAAGAGGUCAUAGAGAAAGCACAGGAAUUCAUGGUAACAUCACAAAAGGGGUCUACUUUAAAGGAAUGGACCAGAAGGUAAGUGAUGUACAAGAAUCAAACGUCUGCAUGCAGAACAUUGAACAACGUCUCAAUAGAAGUAGACUUCAAGGAUGAACAACAAGCACAACAAGGUGAAGCAAAAGUUUUGAUCCUCACAUUUCUGGAAGCCAUCUGCAAUUUCAGCCUUUUCUUUUCAUACACUAUCAACAUUUUCAUUGCUUUAUAUCAGGUUCCUGCAGAUAGAUGAGGAGAGGUCAUCGAGAAAGCCCAUUAAUUCAUACAAACAUCUCAGCAGAAGUUAACUUCAAAGAAACUAAGUUAAGUGAUGUAGAAGGAUGAAACCUGUGAAUGCAGAACAUUUAAGAAGGAUGGAGAACAUCUCAACAGAAUUCAACUUCAAGGAAACUGUCACAAGGUAAGUGAUGUCCAGAAAUGGACCCUGUUGAUGGAGAAAAAGCCGUGAGCCUUAAGGUAAGAAGGAAUAAGUUUGGCCUGAGCAGGAGCUGGCGGGUUGGUGGUCUAUGGUCCUUGCUGACAUGCCCAGGGUAGCACUGACCGCCACUUUUGGGGUCGGGAAGGAAUUUUCCUCCAGGGCAGAUUGGCCUGAGAUCCUGGAGGUUUUUCGCCUUCUUCUGGGCAUCCAGCAGCGUCCACCUGUUAGGAUGUUUGAAAAAUUAAUGUAUUUUGUUCCUGUUGUUGUUAACUGCCUUCAAGUUGAUAUUG